rnacentral:rRNA from 1 species
UCGAAAGCCUGUCCCAGUUCGGACUGGAGUCUGCAACCCGACUCCACGAAGUUGGAUUCGCUAGUAAUCGCGCAUCAGCCAUGGCGCGGUGAAUACGUUCCCGGGCCUUGUACACACCGCCCGUCAAGCCAUGGGAGCCGGGGGCGCCUGAAGUCCGGGACCGCGAGGACCGGCCUAGGGCGAAACUGGUAACUGGGGCUAAGUCGUAACAAGGUAGC